CUCUCUGGUUUCUCUUCAUAUCGUAUAAAUCUUUUCCCUUUUACUAAGGAUUUCCGUGGGAAUGUAUUUUUUUUAAAGUAACUUUUCCACAUAUAAAUUGCUCAGUUCCCAGCAGA